rnacentral:tRNA from 1 species
AAUGAGGUGCCUGAGUAAAGGAUUACCUUGAUAGGGUAAAUCAAGAAGGCCAACCCUUCUCUCAUUG